rnacentral:rRNA from 1 species
GAUGAACGCUGGCUACAGGCUUAACACAUGCAAGUCGAGGGGAAACGACGGGGAAGCUUGCUUCCCCGGGCGUCGACCGGCGCACGGGUGAGUAACGCGUAUCCAACCUGCCUCUGACUGAGGGAUAACCCGUCGAAAGUCGGCCUAAUACCUCAUGGCAUCGUCUGCGGGCAUCCAACGACGAUUAAAGAUUUCAUCGGUCAGGGAUGGGGAUGCGUCUGAUUAGCUUGUUGGCGGGGUAACGGCCCACCAAGGCUACGAUCAGUAGGGGUUCUGAGAGGAAGGUCCCCCACAUUGGAACUGAGACACGGUCCAAACUCCUACGGGAGGCAGCAGUGAGGAAUAUUGGUCAAUGGGCGAGAGCCUGAACCAGCCAAGUAGCGUGCAGGAAGACGGCCCUAUGGGUUGUAAACUGCUUUCAUGCGGGGAUAAAGUGAGGGACGUGUCCUUCAUUGCAGGUACCGCAUGAAUAAGGACCGGCUAAUUCCGUGCCAGCAGCCGCGGUAAUACGGAAGGUCCGGGCGUUAUCCGGAUUUAUUGGGUUUAAAGGGAGCGUAGGCCGUGGAUUAAGCGUGUUGUGAAAUGCAGGUGCUCAACGUCUGCACUGCAGCGCGAACUGGUCCACUAGAGUGUGCGCAACGCAGGCGGAAUUCGUCGUGUAGCGGUGAAAUGCUUAGAUAUGACGAAGAACUCCGAUUGCGAAGGCAGCUUGCGGGAGCACAACUGACGCUGAAGCUCGAAAGUGCGGGUAUCGAACAGG